UUUCAGUAGUGGUGAAAAGCAAAAUGGUGUGGGGAAGAUAUGCACAUAACAUACGUACACAUAUCUCAUUAUUUUAUUAUAUUUACAGUUGCUAUGUCAUGUCAAAACAUUAAAUAAAAAGAGUGAUUUACGCUAUGAGUCAGUUUUUGACUUUUUAUUACGUAAAAGAGCAGUUUCUGCUACUAAGGUAGUUUUUGGUGGUUAAAGACAUUGUUGGCUUUGUAAAAGUGUAACCGUCAGCUCUUUUUGUGUCACCCUUAUAGAUCUAGUUAGCUUUUCGUUAUAUGCACCGCUAACUAAGCGUAACAACAAGAAUCUUUUUUUUUUUUUUGCUUUUGUUUUAAAUUUUCAAAAAUGUUGAAACCUAGAAAACGUAGAAAACAGUGAACUUUUUUUGGUUUGCUUUUUUGGAUUUUUUUUUGGAUUAGCAUUUUCGUCGUCCUUCAUUUGAUCCUAAACUAUUUCUGACCACCAAGACCGGAACAUCAUGACUUCGCCGCCACCGCGAGUUUAGUACACUCGGCCACAAAGUCAGUUAAAACACAUCUAUGUUAUGGUGAUUUGAGUCAAAAUCAGUUGUUAUAUCAAGGAACUAUCAUAUUUGAAUGGUAAUAAUAAAGAAACGAGGUUGAAUCAAAGCAAAUCAUCCCAAAAUGGUGAUUUAUGUCUGAAAAAAAAAUGGCCGUAAAUUUUGUAGAAAGAGACUGUGAUGAAGAAGAAGAUAUAUAAAAUUACAAUACUACCCUUCGCUAUCAUAAUUUCAUAUAUCCACAACAAAAAAAUUGUGCACAUCCGUGAGUCUACAUGUGUACAAUAUAAAUUGUGGCGUACAUGUGUACAAAAAAAACUUGGACGUAUGACAUAGAAAUACUUUUGUAGCUAUGGUAAAAAUGUACACUUUAGAAUUGAUGGGCCAAUGAUUACACGACCUUUCAAUAAUAAAAAGAUUUCUAAAAAAAAUAUAUAAACUUUCGUAUCUCUAUCAUAAUCUCAUAUGUCGACAACAAAAAAAUUGUGCACAUCCAUGAGUGUACAAUAGAAAUUGUGGCAUACAUGUGUACAAAAAAGCAAAACUUGCAAACGUGUACACAUAAUUAUCGAACAUGUACACAUAAUUAUCACUGUCCACGUGUACAUAAAUUCCCAAAACCUUACAUGUACAUUAGUUCACUUGUACACCUAAUAGGUUUUCUAAAACGAUGAGCUUGGAAAUACAUAUUCUCUAGCCUUCUUAACUUGUAUCGUUGAGUGAAAUCUUGUGCAGCAAGCAUAUCAUCAUAAGAUGAGAACUCAUCUAUGUCGGUUUCACCUUCAUCCCAUCUACACAAGUUAAAUAAACAUAGUUCGAAGACAUUACCAGUAAAACCUCACAGAUUUUAGACAAAUGCUAAAUGAACAUAAUUCAGAGACAUUACUUGUAAAACCUCCAAAGUAUUGUGUUUCUACAGAUAUACUGAUAGAUACAUCAACAAGCCCUUAAGGCUUACUUGAGUUCAUCUUCCUAAGCUCGUAGCUUCCACUUUCCUCAAUUACAAAACUUGAUGAACUCUGCUUCUUAUACUUAACUAGAAACUCCUUCAAGGAAAUAGUUGAAGAGUCAUGAAACUUAUUCCUUAAGAAGAUGAGUUCUUUGAAAGGGCUGAAAGAAAUAUAUUUCAAGAUCUUGUCAACAGCAAUGAUUCUUGUCCAAAGUCUAAAAUAGCAAAAAAAAAAAUUGAAAAUAAGAGCACUAAGUUACAGAUCAAAUACUUCAAACUAUUAUGUUAGAGAGUAAAAUAAAAUGAACAAAAAAAAACAAAUUUACGCAAAUGUAGCUUAAUUUACAGAAAAAAUCAUUCUCAGAGACAUGAGAACAUAUCUGAAUCUGAUGGUAGAAGAGAAAGAUAAAUAAAUAGAGAGAGAAAAAUAAAGAGAGAGAGAAACCAUAAGUUGUCAUAUUAAAAAGAUUAAAAAUAAAUAUUAUUAUUUUUAUUUAGUUAAGAUUUAGUUAGAUUUCAAUUGUUUUAUGAAUUGGAAGAGGUGAAACGUGUAUUGGGAAAAGAAAAAGUGUCUGAGGAGCAUAAACUGCCUUAUAGUGUUAUUAGUAAGUGCAAAACUGCCCUAUAGUGUAAUAUUUUCAAAUAAAAAUACCUUCCAUGAAGAGUCUUGGUGGAAGAGUCUUGUUGUUACACAGAACCAAAUAGCAUUGAAGAGAUUCAAAAAAAAAAGAAAAAAAAAGGAAAAUUGAAGAUUUUGGUUGAAAAGGAAUGAAUGUACCAAUCCAAAACCAAACCACUCAGAAGGACUAUUUGUUCUGUGAUCUCUGAGAUCUUGGAAGUAGUACUAGACAUUUUAAUAUUAGAAGAAGAGAAACACUAAAUUCUAAAGCUAUAAAUAAUAAAAGGUUGGGAAUUAAUCUUUCCCUUAGGAUGUUAGGAGUUUCAUAAAGUUUCGAAGAUUAAUCGGUGUGUCAAUUAUUCGAUGUUAAAAAACUUACACUCAAAUAACCUAUUCCAUAAAUAAUCUCACGCAAAAACCAAUUGAUAUAAAGAUAGUAGAAACUCUGAGAAAAUCACUCUCAAAGACGCAUUUUAACUUUACAAUAUCACAAUAAGUCAUAUUCUAUUUGUGACACACGUUUUCCUUGCAUAAUGUCCAUAAUACCUUUUAAUCAACACCUCACUCUCAUUUACUUUUGAAAAUAUUACUCUUAUACUUCUAAGCCUGCCAUUUACAGUUUCACAUAGUUAGAGCAUUUGGGACACUUCUAUGCCAUGAAAAGUCACCAAUGCCCCUUAUAUUUGAAAACUAGAAAACAAGUACCAGUCGCUAUCCAUCUUUAUGCUUUUCUCUUCCUUACUUUACGAAAGUCGAUUUUUGUCUGAACCCUAAUUUUCGAAACGUAAGAGUCCCCAAAGCGGCGACCACUUUCAAUUGGCUCGCGACCACACUCAAUUGGCUCCUCUCUGGUUUCAACUCUCGACGAUUUGCAAUUGUCUAUUCUCUGUUCGCCAAGCCAAACCUUCAUCAAUAUCCGCAGACAAAUGACAGAUAACGACGACACUCUCCGGCCAGAUUCCUAUCGUCUCUUUGCUACAGACAGCUAUCCCAGGAAACGCUUGAACAUAUACUCAAAACCAGAAAUCAUCUGUCGUCUUACACAAGAUUCUACGAGGCUAUCAGAGCAUCUUGUUUUGGUGGUCUUUUCGAUAUACAAGCCGCUGUAUCGUGCGAGAUGAUCCACAACCUCUCUCUCGGCAACUCUUAUGCAGCCAACAGUACACAUUGUGGCCUGUCGUCAGCGGCAAUCCUUUCUGUUUCUCAAUUGCAGAAUUCCAAGUGGUUACCGGUCUCCCCUGCGCCCCCCUACCUGAGAAAUAUGUUUCACCAGACUUCAAGUUCAUGAACCCUGCAAAGGAUCCAUGCUGGAAGCGAAUUAUAGGUAAUGACUCACACAUCACAAUUUCAGAGCUUGGAGAUAUGCUAGAGAAUGACCCCCUCAUGCCUUAUGAGAGAAGGCUACAGCUUGCGCUUAUAAUGAUCGUAGACGGUGUCCUUUACUUUUUGUGCUUUGGUUGUUUUCUUUUUUACUUUGAUGAUUUAAACAAAACCGAAAAAGACAAUUUCCCAAAUAUGUUCCCAAUUCAUGAACCCUAAUCUCUGCCUUUUUCUGAAUCUUGUCUGGUUGCAAUUCCUUGUCAUUUUCUCACCCUAAUCCAUUUCGGUCCUCCACUCCGUGAAUCAAAAUCAUUUUCUUCUCCAAAAUUGUUUGUUUCGUGGCCGUCGUCUUUGAGCCACCCUCAAACAAGGCUCCACAAACGCACCUGCUCCACAUGAGCAACAGAAUAUGACAUGCUAAGUUAGUUAGUUUAUUUUUUGGUUAAUUUGGGAACGCUUUGUUACAACAACUGUUCGCUUCGCUUAAGCAAUUUCAGUCAAGAUCAUUGGAUUCAAAUGAUUUUGGUCCAAAAAAAUCUCUAUCUCUUUUCUUUGAUUGUAAUUGGCAAAUCUGUAGUAACUACCCAAACAUUGGAAUUUUUUUCCAGACUUGUCAUUGUGGAUGUGUUGGAGCUAUCACAUCACCAAGAAGCCUCGUGAAACCACGCAAGGAAGAAAGCUGUGGAUGAACGAUUUUAGUGGAGCAAGAAAGAGUAAAGAUAUGUUGAUGCCGUGGAAGAAGUUAGAUGCUAAUGAGUUUGGUAUACAGAGGUCCUCGAUCUCUGAAUCUACACGUAUGGUUGCCAAUAAGCUCAGGAAAAGAGGUAUCUAUUACUUCUUCUCAAGCUUUGACUUAGGCUUCUGGUUAGAUUACGUAGUGUGCUAAAAAAUAUUUUAUCAGCUUUGCUUAUGUUAUUGUAGUUGUUAGUCUAAUGUGAACCCUCACAGAGCUCUUUAGAUUGCUUUAUACAGUCUUUCUUUUUGAUGGAAAAAGUAAUGAUGGAAUAAGUAAUGUGAACCCUCUCAAAUCUUGUUAGUUAUAAUGUUCAAACUUUUCAUCAUGUACAUACAUGAUCUAGACUUUGGUAUCCAUGUCCAUAACUACUCUAUAAUUCUAUUAUCCACUCUUUGGUUUGCAUGUCCUGUUAUCUACCUUUUGGUGUCCAUGUCCACAUUUUCUCUGUAUAAAUGUUAAUAUUAUAUAUUUAAAAAUGAAUGUUAAACGAUAUAAAAUUUUAUAUAUAAUUUAAUGUGAUAAUUAUUUUUGUUUUAUAUAGUUUAGAAUUUGAGAUAAAAACUACAUGAAACAAUGGAAUAAGAAAAACGAAGUUACAAUUUAUACUUACUCCAAACAGAAACACAUCUCAUGUUUCCUAUAAGCAAGGAAAUUUCUAUCCAAAACACCUCUCGGAUUCCGUAAAGAGAAAAUGACUAGAAUGUAUAACAAAAGUUGAUUUAUUACUAGAGUGUUAAACAUCUUUUUAAAAUGACUAGAAUGUUUGGACACCCAUAGUAAAUGACUCUAAGGGUCUUUGGUUAGUUUUUUUUAAUUGAAAUUACUUUUAAACAUAUAAUCCACAUCAGUAAUUAAAAUUACACAUCACCACCACAAUAGAAACCAAACCGUCUCUUCUCCAACAUAACUAAAUCGAAGUUUUUUUUAAAAAACUAACUAAGAACAUCAUUUUGUCGUCUCGAAGAAGAACCGUCGAAGAAGGAACCGCGAGGAUACUCCCACUCUCCGUCAUCGACAUUGUCUGUGUUAACUUCCUCUUCGUCGAAAUAGCUCUCUGUCGUUGUACUCUGUUUUCUCUGUUAUCAUCGUGCCCGAAAUCAGAAUUCUGAAUUCGUUUGUACGAAAUCGUCUUCGCCGCAUUCUUAUCUCCGAGUUCGUCUUUUCCGGUAGGAUAUCGGGACAUUAUAUAUUGUGUUUUGUUGAGUUUGUGGGUCAGUUAUGUAUUAUAUUUCAUCUGAUUUAUAUUUUGUUGCGACUGAGAUAGGGUUGUGUUGCGGCUGUGAUUUUGUUUUGUUGGGGUUUCGUUGCGUCUGAGUUAGGCUUUUGCUGCGGCUGAGUUAUGGUUAUGUCAUGGCUGAGUUAUAUUUUUGUCGUGAAUAACCUAAUGUUAUGUUUUGACUGUGUUACUCUUAUGAUGCGGCUGAGUUACUGUUUUGUUGUGGCUAAUUUUAUUGUUGGGUUAUAUGAUCAUAUGGAUGCUGCUGAAGUUAAAUCAAGGGAUUACCCACCAAGACUUUACCCUGAAGGGUCUUCUAACCUAGAUGGUAAAGUUAUUAAUCACAAUUUCCAUCCAGGGCAUUUCCCCCACGUUAGAGAAACAAUAGGACUUGAUGUGUGGGAAGAACUGGUGAACUCUCCCAUUGGAGUAGUUGCGAGGCUAGCUGAACGCGAAAGCAUGUGGUCUGGUAGGACCGUGAACAGUAGACAACUGCGAGUUAUAAAGAAGGAGAUAUGGUGUCUCGUGGCUGAUGAGGCUAUCAGGUUUAGCUUGCUCGAGUUUGGUGAGAUCACUGGGCUAAACACAGGUCUAUUGCCAACAGAAAAAUUAGAUCCUAGUCAAUACAACGAGUU